GAGUAGUGCGGGGCACGUGAAACCCCGUAUGAAUCCGGCAGGACCAUCUGCCAAGGCUAAAUACUUCCUAGCGACCGAUAGUGAAGCAGUACCGUGAGGGAAAGGUGAAAAGCACCCCGGAAGGGGAGUGAAAUAGAACCUGAAACCGUGUGCUUACAAAAAGUCAGAGCCCGUUUUAGGGGUGAUGGCGUGCCUUUUGUAGAAUGAACCGGCGAGUUACGUUCCCGUGCAAGGUUAAGGUGAAGAGCCGGAGCCGCAGCGAAAGCGAGUCUGAAUAGGGCGACAUAGUACGUGGACGUAGACCCGAAACCGGGUGAUCUACCCCUGUCCAGGGUGAAGGUGCGGUAACACGCACUGGAGGCCCGAACCCACGCAUGUUGAAAAAUGCGGGGAUGAGGUGGGGGUAGCGGAGAAAUUCCAAUCGAACUCGGAGAUAGCUGGUUCUCCCCGAAAUAGCUUUAGGGCUAGCCUCGGAAAACAGAGUCGUGGAGGUAGAGCACUGAUUGGGUGCGGGGCCCGCAAGGGUUACCAAGCUCAGUCAAACUCCGAAUGCCAUAGACUUACUUCCGGGAGUCAGACAGUGAGUGCUAAGAUCCAUUGUCAAAAGGGAAACAGCCCAGACCAUCAGCUAAGGUCCCCAAGUGUGUGUUAAGUGGGAAAGGAUGUGGAGUUGCACAGACAACCAGGAUGUUGGCUUAGAAGCAGCCACCAUUGAAAGAGUGCGUAAUAGCUCACUGGUCGAGUGACUCUGCGCCGAAAAUGUAACGGGGCUAAACACACCACCGAAGCUAUGGCUUGAUGCUUUGCAUCAGGGGUAGGGGAGCGUUGUAUAAGGGUUGAAGGUGUACCGUAAGGAGCGCUGGACAUUAUACAAGUGAGAAUGCCGGUAUGAGUAACGAAAAGAUCAGUGAGAAUCUGAUCCGCCGAAAGCCUAAGGGUUCCUGAGGAAGGCUCGUCCGCUCAGGGUAAGUCGGGACCUAAGGCGAGGCCGAAAGGCGUAGUCGAAGGACAACAGGUCGAAAUUCCUGUACCACCGUAAGCCGUUAUGAGCAAUGGGGGGACGCAGCAGGGUAGUGACGCGGACUGAUGGAUGUCCGUCUAAGCAGUGAGGCUGAUGUGUAGGCAA
rnacentral:rRNA from 1 species